rnacentral:tRNA from 1 species
AGCUAUAUGUUUAGUAGGUUAAGCAUCAGACUUGGGUCCUGGGAAAUUAGGGUUCAAAUCCCAGUUUAGCCA